GCCUGGUUGGCUCCGUCGGUGGAGCAUGUGACUCUUGAUCUUAGAGUUGUGAGUUUCAGCCCCACACUGGGUG
rnacentral:tRNA from 1 species